UACGUAGGUGGCAAGCGUUGUCCGGAAUUAUUGGGCGUAAAGCGCGCGCAGGCGGUCCCUUAAGUCUGAUGUGAAAGCCCACGGCUCAAACGUGGUGGGUCAUUGUAAACUGGGAGACUUGAGUACAGAAGAUGAGAGUGGAAUUCCACGUGUAGCGGUGAAAUGCGUAGAUAUGUGGAGGAACACCAGUGGCGUAGGUGACUCUCUGGUCUGUAACUGACGCUGAGGCGCGAAAGUGUGGGGAGCAAACAGG
rnacentral:misc_RNA from 1 species